rnacentral:rRNA from 1 species
UACGGGAGGCAGCAGUGGGGAAUAUUGCACAAUGGGCGCAAGCCUGAUGCAGCCAUGCCGCGUGUAUGAAGAAGGCCUUCGGGUUGUAAAGUACUUUCAGUCGUGAGGAAGGUGUUAAGGUUAAUAACCUUAGCAAUUGACGUUAGCGACAGAAGAAGCACCGGCUAACUCCGUGCCAGCAGCCGCGGUAAUACGGAGGGUGCGAGCGUUAAUCGGAAUUACUGGGCGUAAAGGGCACGCAGGCGGUUAAUUAAGUUGGAUGUGAAAUCCCCGGGCUUAACCUGGAAAUGGCAUUCAAGACUGGUUAGCUAGAGUCUUGUAGAGGGGGUAGAAUUCCGAUGUGUAGCGGUGAAAUGCGUAGAGAUGUGGAGGAAUACCGGUGGCGAAGGCGGCCCCUGGGACAAAGACUGACGCUCAUGUGCGAAAGCGUGGGGAGCAAACAGGAUUAGAUACC